GAUGAACGCUGGCGGCGUGCCUAAUACAUGCAAGUCGAGCGAACAGACGAGGAGCUUGCUCCUCUGACGUUAGCGGCGGACGGGUGAGUAACACGUGGAUAACCUACCUAUAAGACUGGGAUAACUUCGGGAAACCGGAGCUAAUACCGGAUAAUAUAUUGAACCGCAUGGUUCAAUAGUGAAAGACGGUUUUGCUGUCACUUAUAGAUGGAUCCGCGCCGCAUUAGCUAGUUGGUAAGGUAACGGCUUACCAAGGCGACGAUGCGUAGCCGACCUGAGAGGGUGAUCGGCCACACUGGAACUGAGACACGGUCCAGACUCCUACGGGAGGCAGCAGUAGGGAAUCUUCCGCAAUGGGCGAAAGCCUGACGGAGCAAGGCCGCGUGAGUGAUGAAGGUCUUCGGAUCGUAAAACUCUGUUAUUAGGGAAGAACAAAUGUGUAAGUAACUAUGCACGUCUUGACGGUACCUAAUCAGAAAGCCACGGCUAACUACGUG
rnacentral:rRNA from 1 species